ACUAUCACAGUGGGAAGAAUUCAGUGGUGAACUAAGUCUCUAACUGCUCGGACCGAGAUGCGUUCAGCUGUUGGUUUCUGCGUUUGCGUGCGAAUUUUCCUCGUCACCGUUGCUUCAAGCUAUGCCGUAGACUAUCCUAGAGGUCCCGGAUGCGGUGCGCUCCUCACAGGCAACGUCGUCAAUUACACAUAUACAGUCUCGAAGAAGUCUUUUAAUGAGAGCCUUGAUGAAAGUCAUAUUUUUUUGAAUAGCACAGGGGCUUGGUGUCCAUUUCGUGAUGACCAACUUGCGUGGCCAGAAUUCCAUUUUGAAAAGCAAGUAAACAUUACAGCUUUCGAAUAUCAAGGACGAAGUAACAGCCAAGACUAUAUCACGAGGCUUUCUAUCCAAUUCAGACCCAUCGUGAGGGAUGGUAUUUACUGGAACUUUUUUCCAACUCAGGAUAACCGACAGUAUUUUUAUUACACACCGACCACGGAUGCAGACGAAAUCGGUCACUUCCAAGUCAAAGGAUUGCUGGCUCAGGGAGUAAGGAUUAGAGCCUUUUCGUGGAGGAAAAUCUGCUUUCGUGUUGAGAUAUAUGGAUGUGUAAUAGUAAAUGGUGGACUAACGAAUUGGUCAGACUGGACUCGGUGUUCCAAUCCAUGUGGUAACGGAAGCAGUUUUCGAUACAGAACGUGCACUAAUCCCGCUCCGCUUAAUGGGGGAGCGGACUGCGAAGGGGACUUGUACGAGAUGAUGGAAUGUAAAGGAAAUGAGUGUUCUGUCGAUGGCGGCUUUUCUGAAUGGUCCGAAUGGAGCACCUGUAGUGUGUCGUGUGGGACUGGAUUCCAAUUACGUCAACGAAAUUGCACCAAGCCCCCUCCGGCGCAUGGUGGACAAAAAUGCGAGAGCAAAGAUUUCACAGAAGUGCAAAACUGCUCGGCACCAGUCUGCCAUUCGAAAGUUGAUGGAGGUUUUUCAGAAUGGUCCAACUGGACCACUUGUAGUGUGUCUUGUGGGACUGGAUUCCAGUUACGCCAUCGAAACUGUACCAGUCCUUCUCCGGCUUAUGGAGGAAAAAGUUGUGAAAGCAAGAAUUUUACAGAAGCACGAACAUGUAUGAUGCAAGCUUGCCAUUUGCCUGUCGAUGGCGGUUUAUCAGAAUGGUCUAACUGGACCACUUGCAGUGUGGCGUGUGGGACUGGAUUCCAAAUACGUCAUCGAAACUGCACCAGUCCCCCUCCCGAGCAUGGAGGAAAAAAUUGUGAGAGCAAGAAUUUUACAGAUGUGCGAUCAUGUAUGAUGGGAGUUUGCAAUUUGCCGGUUGAUGGCGGUUUAUCAGAAUGGUCCAACUGGACCGAGUGUAGUGUGGCGUGUGGGACUGGAUACCAACUACGUCAUCGAAAUUGUACCAGUCCCCCUCCGGAACACGGAGGCAAAAGUUGCGAAAGCAGAAUUUCGGUAGAUGUGAGAUCAUGUACGAUGGGAGCGUGCCAUUUACCGGUUGACGGCGGUUUUUCGGAAUGGUCCAACUGGACAACUUGUAGUGUCCAAUGUGGGACUGGAUUCCAAUUGCGUUAUCGAAACUGUACCAGUCCCCCUCCGGCGCAUGGAGGACAAAGUUGUAAAAGCAAGAAUUUUACAGAAGGGCGAAUAUGUGUGAUGGGAGUUUGCGAUCUGCCGGUUGAUGGAGGUUUUUCUGAAUGGUCUAACUGGACUACUUGUAGUGUGUCUUGUGGCUCUGGAUUCCAAUUACGUCAUCGAAACUGCACCAGUCCUUCUCCAGCGCAUGGGGGUAAAAGUUGUGAGAACAAGAAUUUUACAGAUGUGCGAACAUGUUUAAUGGGACCUUGUAACUUGCCAGUGUGGUGUGUGGGACUGGAUUCCAAUUACGUCAUCGAAACUGCACCAGUCCUCCCCCUGCUUAUGGAGGACAAAGUUGCGAGAGCAAGAAUUUCACAGAAGGGCGAACAUGUGCGAUGGGACCUUGUCAGUUACCGGUUGAUGGAGGAUUUUGUGAAUGGUCUUACUGGACAAGCUGUAGUGUGUCGUGUGGGAUUGGAUUCCAACUGCGUCAUCGAAACUGCUCCAGUCACCCUCCAGCGCAUGUAGGACAAAGUUGUGAAAGCAAGAAUUUUACAGAGGGGAGAACAUGCAUGAUGGGAGCUUGCAAUUUACCGGUGGAUGGCGGUUUUUCAAAAUGGUCCGCUUGGACCACUUGUAGUGUGUCGUGUGGCACUGGACUCCAAUUCCGUUAUCGAAACUGCAC
rnacentral:misc_RNA from 1 species